rnacentral:rRNA from 1 species
CCUACGGGUGGCAGCAGUGAGGAAUAUUGGUCAAUGGACGAGAGUCUGAACCAGCCAAGUAGCGUGAAGGAUGGCUGCCCUAUGGGUUGUAAACUUCUUUUAUAUGGGAAUAAAAUGUUCCACGUGUGGGAUUUUGUAUGUACCAUAUGAAUAAGGAUCGGCUAACUCCGUGCCAGCAGCCGCGGUAAGACGGAGGAUCCGAGCGUUAUCCGGAUUUAUUGGGUUUAAAGGGAGCGUAGGUGGAUUGUUAAGUCAGUUGUGAAAGUUUGCGGCUCAACCGUAAAAUUGCAGUUGAAACUGGCAGUCUUGAGUACAGUAGAGGUGGGCGGAAUUCGUGGUGUAGCGGUGAAAUGCUUAGAUAUCACGAAGAACUCCGAUUGCGAAGGCAGUUCACUGGACUGCAACUGACACUGAGGCUCGAAAGUGUGGGUAUCAAACAGGAUUAGAUACCCUUGUAGUC